rnacentral:rRNA from 1 species
AGUCUGGUGCCAGCAGCCGCGGUAAUUCCGGCUCCAAUAGUGUAUAUUAUUGUUGCUGUAGUUAAAAAGCUCGUAGUUGGAUUUCGGAAUGCGACUGUCAAAGCCCGUCCAAGUGGCGUGGCUCGACUGGUUGCUUCUUUUCUUUGGGUAAUGGGCUCAUCUUCGGGUGAGAUUCCGUUCCUAAUUGUUUACUUUGAAAAAAUUAGCGCGUUCAAAGCAGGUGUACUUUGCCUUGAAUAGUUUAGCAUGGGAUAAUAGAAUAGGACCACCGGCCUUAUUUUAUUGGUUUCUAAAGCUGGGGUAAUGAUUAAUAGGGACAGUUGGGGUCGGUCGUAUUGAAUCGUCAGAGGUGAAAUUCUAUGAUUGAUUCAAGACGAACUGGUGCGAAAGCGUCCGACAAGGAUGUUUCCGUUAAUCAAGAACGAAAGUUGGGGGAUCGAAGAUGAUCAGAUACCGUCGUAGUCCUAACCAUAAACUAUGUGGACCAAGGAUCCGAGGAUGUUCCAUGGAUGACUCUCCGGGCACUUUGUGAGGAAUCAGAGUAUUUGCAUUCCGGGGGGAGUAUGGCCGCAAGACUGAAACUUAAAGGAAUUGACGGAAGGGCACCACCAGGAGUGGAAUCUGCGGCUUAAUUUGACUCAACACGGGGAAACUCACCAGGUCCGGACACAGUAAGGAUUGACAGAUUGAGAGCUCUUUCUUGAUUCUGUGGGUGGUGGUGCAUGGCCGUUUUUAGUUGGUGGAUUGAUUUGUCUUGUUAAUUCAGAUAACGAGCGAGACCUCAUCCUGCUAAUUAGUGAUGUGAAUUUGUGGCUCGCAAGGGUCACUAUCCGAUUCGUAGACUACUUCUUAGAGGGACUCUCGGCACUUUUAGCCGAUGGAAGCUUGAGGCAAAAACAGGUCUGUGAUGCCCUUAGAUGUCCUGGGCUGCACGCGCGUUACACUGGCGAUUGCAACGAGUGUUUUCCUUCCUCGAAGGGGGUGGGUAAACUUUUCAACGAUCGCCGUGAUUGGGAUUGAACCUUGCAAUUAUUGUUCAUGAACGAGGAAUUCCUAGUAAGCGCGGUUCAUCAAACCGCGCUGAUUACGUCCCUGCCCUUUGUACACACCGCCCGUCGCUUGUACCGAUUAAUGAUCCGGUGAGGACCUGGGAUUGUUAGUUUCUUAUCUUCUCGCAAGGGAAGGUCUGGCUAAUGAAAGCUAGUUCAAAUCAUAUCAUUUAGAGGAACAAGAAGU